GCGAACGUAGCUCAGUUGGUUAGAGCGCGGCCUUGUGGUGGCCGAUGUCGUGGGUUCGAAUCCCAUCGUUCGCCCCA
rnacentral:tRNA from 1 species